GCCCCCGUAGCCCAACUGGCAGAGGCAACGGAUUCAAAACCCGUCCAGUGUGAGUUCGAAUCUCACCGGGGGCACGA
rnacentral:tRNA from 2 species